CACUUCCGGCCGGGCGGCUGCGCGAGUGUGGGGCGUCGCGGGCGCGCGAUUCACCCCUUUUGUGGAGAAGGGGGCAGCGUGGGACGUCCUGACUCCGGCCCGACAGCCUCCCGAGAGCCUGGGAACGUGCCAGGAGUGAAGGACACGGAUCUUCCCGGACGCGCGGCGAGGAGAGACACGCGGCUUGAUGCCGGCUUCCUCCCGACCCACCGACCGCACCGCCCUUCGGAGUCGAGCCUCUUCCACCUCCCGAGCCUGCUCGCCGCCCGCUCUCCGGUUCUCUGGCCCCAGGCGGGCACCGCUCCCGCUGGCGCCCGAGGGGAUGGAAUCAGGCCCCCGGGGCGGCCGUGGCCGUGGCGACCGGAGUGAGCCAGUUUGCUGAAGCGGAGCAUGGCGGCGAC